GACGAACGCUGGCGGCGUGCUUAACACAUGCAAGUCGAACGGUGAAGGGACCAGCUUGCUGGUUCUGGAUGAGUGGCGAACGGGUGAGUAACACGUGAGUAACCUGCCCCCUUCUUCUGGAUAACCGCAUGAAAGUGUGGCUAAUACGGGAUAUUCUGGGUCUGUCGCAUGGCGGGCCCGGGAAAGAUAUUGCUUCGGUGGGGGAUGGGCUCGCGGCCUAUCAGCUUGUUGGUGGGGUGAUGGCCUACCAAGGCGGUGACGGGUAGCCGGCCUGAGAGGGUGGACGGUCACACUGGGACUGAGACACGGCCCAGACUCCUACGGGAGGAAGCAGUGGGGAAUAGUGCACAAUGGGCGCAAGCCUGAUGCAGCGACGCCGCGUGAGGGAUGGAGGCCUUCGGGUUGUAAACCUCUUUCGCCAGUGAAGCAGGCCUGCUCCUUGUGGGUGGGUUGACGGUAGCUGGAUAAGAAGCGCCGGCUAACUACGUG
rnacentral:rRNA from 1 species